GUUAUGUGCGCGUAUCCGAGACCAAUUUCUUUGAAUAUUUCAUUCCUUUUCAGGUGCCGAAAAGCAACUGUUCACACCUUUAAACAGAUCGACUGCUAACUGGAUGGACAUAAUCGGCUUCACACAACAUCGUAGUCAACGAAGCGAAACGAAGGGUAACAAUACCCUGUUCUCCACAAUCACCUGAUGGGUUGAACACGGAACUUCAGAUUGGUACACGAAAAAUGAGUAACUUUUGCAUGAGAGCCUAGAGAGAAACACGAAACUUUCGAAUUGUGUUAAGGUACCAAGAAUGAGGGAGAUUUAAGUUGCAACAUACCGUCUAGUUUCAGCGGAUGAAUAAGUUGGUAUAAGCUGCGCUAAAUCAACAAUCUUCUUGGAAAAAUAAAUACUCUUCUCGUUUAUAACCAAACGGCGCCCUUCUUUGUGCUGCGGGAACUAAGGAAGCAGAGGAUCGAGUUUCAUACUUCUCCUAUUUUUUUUUUUCUCUCUUGUUUUGGCAGGAUCAGUAGAGUCAAAGGCAGGCCUGACUUUCUGAUAAUUUAAAAUCUUCCUUGUUGGUUAAUUAUGUGUAUAUUUUGUUGAGUUUUUUUCUUCUCAUUUCACAGGCACACCGUUUCACAUACAAAAGCACUCCUUCUAGAUGAAAAAUGAAAUUUU